GUGGAAACUAGGCAUGUAGUCUUAGCAGGCAGUGUCUCCCUCCCUUGGUCUCUGUCCACCACCAAGGCUGCUGUGCUGUGGUCACUUAGAAGAAGGGGCCUCCCUCUUUCCUCCAAAUUCUGGGAUGCAAACCUGCUAGACUGGCCUGGCAGGGGGCGGCGUCCACCUCUGGGCGCAGCGCUCCUGCUUCCUGUGCCUUUGGACAUGGUUUGUGGACAAAUGUGGUUUUAGCUGUCUUGGGUUACAGCAUGAACAGGUACAGAGGUUUUCUAGGUCACUGUCUCUGCCUUCCCAGGGGCCUGAGCAUGGGUGUCAUCCCCUUUCCCAAGAAGCACCAUCCCCCAAGGCCAGGGCAGCCCCAUCCUUGCCUUGGUCC